rnacentral:rRNA from 1 species
UACGUGGGGGGCAAGCGUUGUCCGGAUUCAUUGGGCGUAAAGAGCGUGUAGGCGGCCAGGUAGGUCGGUUGUGAAAACUGGAGGCUCAACCUUCAGACGUCGACCGAAACCAUCUGGCUAGAGUCCGGGAGAGGAGAGUGGAAUUCCUGGUGUAGCGGUGAAAUGCGCAGAUAUCAGGAAGAACACCCGUGGCGAAAGCGGCUCUCUGGUACGUGACUGACGCUGAGACGCGAAAGCGUGGGGAGCAAACAGG